rnacentral:rRNA from 1 species
UACGAAGGGGGCUAGCGUUGCUCGGAAUCACUGGGCGUAAAGCGCACGUAGGCGGCUUUCUAAGUCAGGGGUGAAAUCCUGGAGCUCAACUCCAGAACUGCCUUUGAUACUGGAGAGCUCGAGUCCGGGAGAGGUGAGUGGAACUCCGAGUGUAGAGGUGAAAUUCGUAGAUAUUCGGAAGAACACCAGUGGCGAAGGCGGCUCACUGGCCCGGUACUGACGCUGAGGCGCGAAAGCGUGGGGAGCAAACAGG